rnacentral:rRNA from 1 species
UACGUAGGGUGCGAGCGUUGUCCGGAAUUACUGGGCGUAAAGAGCUCGUAGGUGGUUUGUCGCGUUGUUCGUGAAAACUCACAGCUCAACUGUGGGCGUGCGGGCGAUACGGGCAGACUGGAGUACUGCAGGGGAGACUGGAAUUCCUGGUGUAGCGGUGGAAUGCGCAGAUAGUCAGGAGGAACACCGGUGGCGAAGGCGGGUCUCUGGGGCAGUAACUGACGCUGGAGGAG